rnacentral:lncRNA from 1 species
GGGCCCAGAUCCUCCACCCCCAUCCCCACACCGAGCCGAGCCGGACCGAGCGCCUGGACACCGCCGCCGCCGCGGAAGUGCAGGAGAACCCGGCCGGAGGAAGCAAGGCUCCUCCAACACAUGUGAAGUCAGCCACUGCCUCUUUUCCAACUGCUGCUCUUUUUGAAUUCUGAUACAUCAGCUCACAGAUGCCUUGUGCUGAU